AUGGCCAAAUAUUGGUGGAGUAGUUCUAUAGAUCAUAGAUCUCUUCACUGGAUAUCAUGGAAAGGACUUACAGUUCCUAAAUGCAAAGGUGGUAUGGGCUUCAGAGACUACCACCUCUUUAACUUAGCACUACUGGGAAAGCAUGGCUGGAGAUUCAUGACAAAUCCAAACUCCCUUUGUGCUAGAGUUUUCAAGGGGAGAUACUUCCCAGACACUGAUUUCAUGCAGGCCAAUGUUCCCCAUUCUGCCUCGGCAAUUUGGUGUGCCAUAGUGGCUGGGCGCGAGGCUCUCAGUACGGGCUUAGUCCAGCGUGUGGGAGACGGCAGCACCAGCAACGCUUGGACAGACAAGUGGAUACACACCACAGCUCCUAGAACCCCGUUGCUAAAACCUCCUAAUACCAAUGUGGAAUGGGUUAGCAAUCUGAUCGAUACAGCCAACUGGACCUGGAAGAGGGAGUUGGUAUGGGAAACCUUCAUCACACCAGAUGCUGAAGCCAUACUGAAUAUUCCAUUACGGCGAGGAGGUGGUGAAGAUUUUCUAGCAUGGGUGUUUGAGAAAUCACGCAUCUACAGUGUGAAAACAGCAUACCGAGCUCUUAUGAACCGCAACGAGCAGUUAGCUCUAGGUGAAGGGGAGGCUAUAGGAGCUUCAGUAGACCAAUCACAUCUAUGGAAAUCGUUAUGGGCUCUCAAAGUUGUCCCAAAAGUGCGUGUUUUCUGGUGGCGAUUCCUUCGAGGCAUUCUACCUGAUGAGAAAACGCUGCAUCACAGACAUAUCAGAGAUCUCAGUUUAUGCAAAGUUUGUCAAGCUAAAGAGGAAGAUCUCGAGCAUGCAUUGAUACAUUGCUCACACACUCGAUAG
rnacentral:rRNA from 1 species